ACUUAAAAAGGUUCUUGGACUAAUAAAGGCAAGCAGGCUAAUUAGGACACCUGUAGCCCAUUGGGAAGCUGCUAGAAUUAAUUAAGGCUAAUCAGGAUACCUGGUUUUAAAAGGCUCUCACUCCAAUUAGUGAGGUGUGCGUAAGGAGCUGGGAGUGAGGGGACUACUGCUGGAGGAUUGAGGAGUACAAGCGUUAACAGACAUCAGGAGGAAGGUCCUGUGGUGAGGAAAAAGAA